UACAGAGGGUGCAAGCGUUAAUCGGAGUUACUGGGCGUAAAGGGCGCGUAGGCGGAUAUUUAAGUCGGAUGUGAAAUCCCUGGGCUUAACCUAGGAAUUGCAUUCGAUACUGGGUAUCUGGAGUAUGGUAGAGGAAAGUGGAAUUCCCGGUGUAGCGGUAAAAUGCAUAGAUAUCGGGAAGAACAUCAGGGCGAAGGCGGCUUUCUGGACCAAUACUGACGCUGAGGCGCGAAAGCGUGGGGAGCAAACA
rnacentral:rRNA from 1 species